GAACCAGGGGAACAUGCCUGGCAUCCAGAGCACCUUCCUGGCCAUGGACACGGAGGAGGGGGUGGAGGUGGUGUGGAACGAGCUGCUCUUCACAGACAAGAAGGCCUUCAAAGCACACGAGGAGAAGAUCAAGACCAUGUUCGAGCAGCUGGUGCUGGUGGAUCACCCCAACAUCGUGAAGCUCCACAAGUACUGGCUGGACGUCAAGGACUCCAAGGCACGGGUGAUCUUCAUCACAGA